GACGAACGCUGGCGGCGUGCCUAACACAUGCAAGUCGAGCGAAUGAAGUUCCUUCGGGAAUGGAUUUAGCGGCGGACGGGUGAGUAACACGUGGGCAACCUGCCUCAUAGAGGGGAAUAGCCUUCCGAAAGGGAGAUUAAUACCGCAUAAGAUUGUAGUAUCGCAUGAUACAGCAACUAAAGGAGCAAUCCGCUAUGAGAUGGGCCCGCGGCGCAUUAGCUAGUUGGUGAGGUAACGGCUCACCAAGGCGACGAUGCGUAGCCGACCUGAGAGGGUGAUCGGCCACAUUGGGACUGAGACACGGCCCAGACUCCUACGGGAGGCAGCAGUGGGGAAUAUUGCACAAUGGGGGAAACCCUGAUGCAGCAACGCCGCGUGAGUGAUGUCGGCCUUCGGGUUGUAAAGCUCUGUCUUCAGGGACGAUAAUGACGGUACCUGAGGAGGAAGCCACGGCUAACUACGUG
rnacentral:rRNA from 1 species